rnacentral:rRNA from 1 species
GAUGAACGCUAGCUACAGGCUUAACACAUGCAAGUCGAGGGGCAGCGGGAUUGAAGCUUGCUUCAAUUGCCGGCGACCGGCGCACGGGUGAGUAACGCGUAUCCAACCUUCCGCUUACUCGGGGAUAGCCUUUCGAAAGAAAGAUUAAUACCCGAUGGUAUCUUAAGCACGCAUGAGAUUAAGAUUAAAGAUUUAUCGGUAAGCGAUGGGGAUGCGUUCCAUUAGGCAGUUGGCGGGGUAACGGCCCACCAAACCUACGAUGGAUAGGGGUUCUGAGAGGAAGGUCCCCCACAUUGGAACUGAGACACGGUCCAAACUCCUACGGGAGGCAGCAGUGAGGAAUAUUGGUCAAUGGGCGAGAGCCUGAACCAGCCAAGUAGCGUGAAGGAUGACGGCCCUACGGGUUGUAAACUUCUUUUGUGCGGGAAUAAAGGAACCUACGUGUAGGUUUUUGCAUGUACCGUAACGAAUAAGCAUCGGCUAACUCCGUGCCAGCAGCCGCGGUAAUACGGAGGAUGCGAGCGUUAUCCGGAUUUAUUGGGUUUAAAGGGAGCGUAGACGGGUUUUUAAGUCAGCUGUGAAAGUUUGGGGCUCAACCUUAAAAUUGCAGUUGAAACUGGAGACCUUGAGUACGGUUGAGGCAGGCGGAAUUCGUGGUGUAGCGGUGAAAUGCUUAGAUAUCACGAAGAACCCCGAUUGCGAAGGCAGCCUGCUAAGCCGCCACUGACGUUGAGGCUCGAAAGUGCGGGUAUCGAACAGG